rnacentral:rRNA from 1 species
UACGUAGGGGGCAAGCGUUGUCCGGAUUUAUUGGGCGUAAAGCGCUCGCAGGUGGUCCGAUGCGUCGUGCGUGAAAGACCCCGGCUCAACUGGGGGGUGUCGUGCGAUACGGUCGGACUGGAGGCCAGUAGGGGGAUGCGGAAUUCCGGGUGUAGUGGUGGAAUGCGUAGAGAUCCGGAGGAACACCAGCGGCGAAGGCGGCAUCCUGGACUGGUCCUGACACUCAUGAGCGAAAGCGUGGGGAGCGAUCCGG